CGCGUAGGCGGUUUAGUCAGUCGGAUGUGAAAGCCCAGGGCUCAACCUUGGAAUUGCAUUCGAUACUGCUUGACUAGAGUAUGGUAGAGGGAAGUGGAAUUUCCGGUGUAGCGGUGAAAUGCGUAGAUAUCGGAAGGAACACCAGUGGCGAAGGCGACUUCCUGGGCCAAUACUGACGCUGAGGUGCGAAAGCGUGGGGAGCAAACA
rnacentral:rRNA from 1 species